rnacentral:tRNA from 3 species
GCUCUAGUAGCUCAGGGGUAGAGCGCACCCUUGGUAAGGGUGAGGUCGGCGGUUCAAUUCCGCCCUAGAGCUCCA